rnacentral:rRNA from 1 species
GACGAACGCUGGCGGCGUGCCUAACACAUGCAAGUCGAACGGAAAGGCCCGGCUUUGGUGGGGUGCUCGAGUGGCGAACGGGUGAGUAACACGUGAGUAACCUGCCCUUGACUUUGGGAUAACUUCAGGAAACUGGGGCUAAUACCGGAUAGGAGCUCCUGCUGCAUGGUGGGGGCUGGAAAGUUUCGGCGGUUGGGGAUGGACUCGCGGCUUAUCAGCUUGUUGGUUGGGUAGUGGCAUAGCAAGGCUUGGACGCGUAGCCGGCCUGGGCGGGUGAGCGGCCACGUCGGACCUGAGCUGCGGCCCAGCCCCCUACGGGACGCAGCGGUGGAGAGUGUUGCAUUGUGGGCGGAGGCCUGGUGCGACAACGCCGCGCGCGGGGUGACAGGCUUCGGGUUGUGUUCUGCUUUCGCCUGUCCCGGAGCGUGAGUGACGGUACUGGGUGAAGAAGCUCCGGCUAACUCCGUG